UACAGAGGUCCCAAGCGUUGUUCGGAUUCAUUGGGCGUAAAGGGUGCGUAGGCGGCGCGGUAAGUCGGGUGUGAAAUCUCGGAGCUUAACUCCGAAACUGCAUUCGAUACUGCCGUGCUUGAGGACUGGAGAGGAGACUGGAAUUUACGGUGUAGCGGUGAAAUGCGUAGAUAUCGUAAGGAAGACCAGUGGCGAAGGCGGGUCUCUGGGCCGGAACUGACGCUAAGGAGCGAAAGCGUGGGGAGCGAACAGG
rnacentral:rRNA from 1 species